UGAGGCCAGAGGUGAAAAAGGAAAGAAAAAUGUGCUAAAAAUUCUGGUGUAGUUGAAAAAGAAAGAACAGGUCUAGAAAUGAGAAAAAAUCAGGAAAAGAGAGUAAAAGAAAAGAAAAGACCUGAAAUUAAAUUCAAAAGAAAGAAACGAUCAGAGUAAGAUAAAAGAAAAAUUAGCUGGCCACAAAGCUUGAGAAAGAAUGCACUAAGUUCUAGUUUUUAGUCUUCUUCUUCACAUUUCUCUGUUUCAUCUUAGUCUCAUUUUUUUU
rnacentral:lncRNA from 1 species